CAGCUGUAUAAGAAAAACGAUCAGCAACAACUAUAGGCCAGGAAUGAGUGUCAUGGCAGAUAAUGGGGAAUCAGCUAAAUCGUUACAGUGGGACCUGGACAAGCAUGCAGACUUAUGAAGAUUUGUGGCAGAGGAAAUGUAAUGUCGAUCAGGAUUUCUACAAAGAGAUGUGCAGGCAAUAAUGCGGACUUUAGAAGCAAUUAGUCUUGAGCUGGAUUCAAUAAGAAGAGAUAUGCAGGCGAUAAGAAUGGAGGUGCAAGGAAUAAGAACUGAGGGAGAGUUAUCAAGAAAAAAUGUUGAAGCUGAAGG